rnacentral:rRNA from 1 species
UAGGGAAUCUUCCGCAAUGGACGCAAGUCUGACGGAGCAACGCCGCGUGAGUGAAGAAGGAUUUCGGUUCGUAAAACUCUGUUGUUAGAGAAGAACAGCGCAUAGAGUAACUGUUAUGCGUGUGACGGUAUCUAACCAGAAAGCCACGGCUAACUACGUGCCAGCAGCCGCGGUAAUACGUAGGUGGCAAGCGGUGUCCGGAUUUAUUGGGCGUAAAGCGAGCGCAGGCGGUCAAUUAAGUCUGAUGUGAAAGCCCCCGGCUCAACCGGGGAGGGUCAUUGGAAACUGGUUGACUUGAGUGCAGAAGAGGAGAAUGGAAUUCCAUGUGUAGCGGUGAAAUACGUAGAUAUAUGGAGGAACACCAGUGGCGAAGGCGGCUCUCUGGUCUGUAACUGACGCUGAGGCUCGAAAGCGUGGGUAGCAAACAGG